AGGCAGAGGAUAGCGGCUAAAAAAUUCCGGCCGUUUAUCUAAUCGCCACAAAUAUCAGAAAUCGCAGCAAUUGACAUCAUGUGCCGCAGAGUCUGAUUGAUUAGCGGCUAUUUCUUGAACAACCGCCACUAAUCAAGACGUUGAUCCUAUUAUUAUUAUUAUUAAAACACUAACACCAUCAUAUAUACUACUCCCCCUUUGAAAAACCCUCUUUCGUUAUACACUCCCCACCAGCCCUAACCCUCAGCUCUGACUCCCUAUGCCCUCCAGCCGUCGAAGCACUUGCCUCUGGACGCUCUCACCUCACGCAGCCCUCGCCUGUAGCAGCUCUCGCCGUCGAAGGUCUGCUUAUCUCCUCGUGUCGCUAGAAGGCCGUUUCGGAGUUGCUGCUCGCGAUGCCGUCUCUGCCCUCUUCGUGAAGCCCGGACCUGUCCUCGUCGUCAUCGUCGGUUCAGAUCUUCUGCUGGCUCGCCUUCUCAUCUCCAAUAGUGAGGGAAUUGAGAUUUAUUCAAAAGGGCAGUGAAACAUAUGUUGAUAAAUGGAAGGCAGUUUCUAUACCAGUGCUACACUUCAGGCAACCUCUCUUGGUAGCAGUUUCAUUUAAAUAUGCCUUGAAUAAGUACCCUGUUUAUGAAUAAUGUAGAUGGUGCCAGGCGGUCCAGCUAAUAAACAUUUGGAGCUAGACGAUGUGCUUGUUCGUAUCAAUGAAAAAGCAUUACAAGAACAAACCUUUGCAACUUCUAAUCUUCCAAACUGUAUUGUGCAAAGAAAUACUAUGUAUUUGACAAGCAUAUCACCAAAAUUGGGCUAAAAGAAAUACACUGAAUAAUCCCUUUCACUCAACACCAAAUUCAGAUAAAUCCCGCACAUAAGUGACACAGUACCAACCUGUACCAGCUCUGGAUGUAACUACUCUGGAAUUGCCAACAUUUGUAACAAGAAUUCGGUCGCCCAACACCAUAGCUGUUGAUGCAGUGGACCCAGCAUCCCUCUGAUGGCCAUUUUCCUUAUUGAGAUACCAAAUUGGCAGGAUAUUUGCCUACUAUAUCUUUGGAUAAAUCGUAAGAAAAUGGAAAAAGAAGAAUACCGGUAGAGGUACUGAUGGUAGUUAAGUUGCAAAUGGUGUCACAGAGUUAUUGCUGAGGCUGGCUAUGGUUAACCAAGAAUUCAAUUGGUCUUGAGGGGUCAGAAGCAUCAUCCAGAGGCCUAGGAACGGCAUCCAAUAUAAUGUGAUAUAUAAAUAAUAUAAUGUGAAAAAUUAAUAUUAAUUAUGUACCUAUUAAAAACAGAGAAUGGUGGCCUGGCCUGGUGGUUGAUUGAGAAGUCAAUCCCUAAUGCACGAGAAACUGGCAAAUUAUGUCCCAAGAUUAGGGAUUUCGCGCACCGUGGAGGAGGAAGCAGGGGUUUCGCGCACUGUGGAGGAGAGCCGAAAGGUCGACGCCGGGAAGAGACAGACGGAUGGCAGCCGCGCGACUCCACAACCCCAUAGAGGCGCAGGGUGGAUCAGAGAUUAGGGAUUUCGCGCACCCUGGAGGAGGGAGGGAGUAGGGGUUUCACGCUGUGGAGGAGAGGCGAAAGGUCGACACCGGAGAGAGGAGGAUAGCUGGGCAGCAGUGGCGCACAGUGGAGCAGCACCAUCAGGGCUUCGCGCGCUACCAAUCUCAGUUCGCCGCUUUCUACAGCUUUAGGGGAAUUAUUAGUUAUAAGAUAAAAGAGAGAUAGGAUAAAUGAUGAUAAAGAUCCUGAUUAGCGGCACAUGAAAAUCAAUUGCUGGUAUCCAUGAAAUUUGCGGCGGUUAGGUAAAAGAGAACCGGGUGUUAGCUGCGCUAAAACACCAGCCCCUUUUCCAGAGCGCUGCUGUUCGAGGGAGCUGCUGCCGUUCGUC